rnacentral:rRNA from 1 species
AUUGAACGCUGGCGGCAUGCUUUACACAUGCCAGUCGAACGGUAACAGGCCUUCGGGUGCUGACGAGUGGCGAACGGGUGAGUAAUGCAUCGGAACGUACCCAGAGGUGGGGGAUAACGCAGCGAAAGCUGUGCUAAUACCGCAUGUGAUCUGAGGAUGAAAGCGGGGGACCGAGCAGCAAUGUUUGGCCUCGCGCCUUUGGAGCGGCCGAUGUCGGAUUAGCUAGUUGGUGGGGUAAAGGCCUACCAAGGCGACGAUCCGUAGCUGGUCUGAGAGGACGACCAGCCACACUGGGACUGAGACACGGCCCAGACUCCUGCGGGAGGCAGCAGUGGGGAAUUUUGGACAAUGGUCGCAAGCCUGAUCCAGCAAUGCCGCGUGCGGGAAGAAGGCCUUCGGGUUGUAAACCGCUUUUGGCAGGAACGAAACGGUGUCCGCUAAUACCGGGCGCUAAUGACGGUACCUGCAGAAUAAGCACCGGCUAACUACGUG